GGAAGGAUCAUUAACACUACAACCAACCCUCGGUGUGCUUAUUACCGUACUUGUUGCUGCACAGUUGCGAAACCUUCGAGCGUAAAACCUCGACUGUGUCUCAACGCUGCGCAUGCGCAUUGCGGGAACACCACCGGUUCACUCUGCCGUCCUUGGCUCUGCUGUUGAUCAUGCCCCCUUGCUGGGGUACAGUUUGACGGUAACCCAAGGCGGUAGUAAGCCAACUGUGAUUGUCGUUCGUUAAAGUCUCUGACAGCAACUCAUUGCCUUUGCCGGGCAUUACUGAUUGCGCAUCACACCCUCGGUACUAGGCCAAUGAGAUGCUGUCGGUCGUUAACACCCCCUUUUAAACACCCUUCAACCGUCGACUUAAUCGUUGCUUAAGCCCGGUGUGAUCAUCGACAUCCGAGAUGCGCUCUGGGGUGAAGGUGAGUCCACCACCGCGUGUGGCGGCAACAAAAAUGUAACCAUUAGACAACUUUUGACAACGGAUAUCUUGGUUCUCGCAACGAUGAAGAGCGCAGCGAAAUGCGAUACGUAAUGUGAAUUGCAGAAUUCAGUGAAUCAUCAAAUCCUUGAACGCACCUUGCGCUCGCAAGUCCUCUUGCGAGCAUGCCUGUUUGAGUAUCGGCUACUAAUUCUCACACCCCCCAAUCGUUUAUUCGGUCGGGGUCGGGCGUGGAAGUCGACUGAGAGUUAGCCGCCACCGCAGACCAUUGACGCACACUCUUUGGGGUGCUGUUGUCGGGUCUCGACUGUUGCUAUCUCUUGAAAUGAGUGGUACCUAGUUCGGUGCGUUGCUUGACUGCAAUUGCCCUUACGAGCGCACUCGGCUAUAGGAAGCCCUUCCGUGUACCUUGAUAGAUCAGGCUUAAGCGCGCUCCAGGGUGCGGUUAUUUCGCGAUUUUAUCAACGGUGCCUGGACUUCUUGGCCGAACUGCCUUGCAAGCGGCAUUCGACUAAGCAUUGCCGUUCGAGCGUACUGCAGCCCACGAUAGGGGAUUAUGUCGGCUUGAUCUGCGGGAUCGGGGCCAAUAGACAUAACCAGAUGGGGAGAAAGCUUGCGUAGCCCAACCCAUACCUCCGAACUCGAUCUCAAAUCAGGCAAGGCUACCCGCUGAAUUUAAGCAUAUCAAUAAGCGGAGGAAAAGAAACUAACCAGGAUUCCCCUAGUAACGGCGAGUGAAGAGGGAAGAGCUCAAAUUUGGAAUCUGCCGUGUUGUACACGUGCAGAAUUGUAGUUUUGUGAACAGUCUUACGGGCAGUGGCCGGUGAUCGAAGUCCCUUGGAACAGGGCACCAGAGAGGGUGAGAGUCCCGUUCAUGGUCACCGCGUCCGCUGUCACCACGUACUGCUGUCUCGACGAGUCGGGUUGUUUGGGAGUACAGCCCUAAAUGGGUGGUAAAUCUCAUCUAAAGCUAAAUAUUGGCGAGAGACCGAUAGCGAACAAGUACCGUGAGGGAAAGAUGCAAAGAACCCUGAAAAGAGAGUUAAAAGUGCUUGAAAUUGUCAAAAGGGAAGCGAUUGGAACCAGUGUAUGUGCCUGGUCGAAUCAGCCGCACGGUGCGGUCUGGCGAGUGCCGAACGAGGGGUCCCUGGUGGCCUCCGUUCGACGCACGCCUGGACCGUGCCGGGCGGUGCACUUCGAUUGGAGCGCGGGUCAGCGUCGAUUGGCCGAGGUCGAGAGAUGGGCCAGAGGAAGGUAGGCGGACGUGCUUGCACGCUCGUUGUUACAGCCUCCGGCACUCGGUAUCGCCUUGUCGAUCGAUUUACCCUGCUAGACAGGUACGAUGGGCGGUUGCGCGGUCUGGUGAGGCUCACCGGCACGGACAGCUUGCUGUGCGCGCUGGGCGAGACUUGCCACCACCGUUCUUUCGCCGUUCCGUCGGAUGUGCUGACAAAAUGGUGUCAAUCGACCCGUCUUGAAACACGGACCAAGGAGUCUAACAUGUAUGCGAGUAUUCGAGUGGCAAACUCUGGAUGCGCAAUGAAAGUAAUCCUUUUGGGUGCGACUUGUGCCUUCACCGGCACGACGCAGCAUCGACCGCUCUGGAGAUUCUUCGAUAGAUGUGAGUGGGAGCAUACCUGUUGGGACCCGAAAGAUAGCGAACUAUGCUUGCAUAGGGUGAGGCCAGAAGAAAUUCUGGUGGAGGCUCGUAGCGAUACUGACGUGCAAAUCGUUCGUCAAAUGUGAGUAUAGCGGCGAAAGACUAAUCGAGCUAUCUAGUAGCUGGUUUCCUC
rnacentral:misc_RNA from 1 species